rnacentral:rRNA from 1 species
GACGAACGCUGGCGGCGUGCCUAAUACAUGCAAGUAGAACGCUGAAGAGAGGAGCUUGCUCUUCUUGGAUGAGUUGCGAACGGGUGAGUAACGCGUAGGUAACCUGCCUUGUAGCGGGGGAUAACUAUUGGAAACGAUAGCUAAUACCGCAUAACAAUGGAUGACCCAUGUCAUUUAUUUGAAAGGGGCAAAUGCUCCACUACAAGAUGGACCUGCGUUGUAUUAGCUAGUAGGUGAGGUAACGGCUCACCUAGGCGACGAUACAUAGCCGACCUGAGAGGGUGAUCGGCCACACUGGGACUGAGACACGGCCCAGACUCCUACGGGAGGCAGCAGUAGGGAAUCUUCGGCAAUGGGGGCAACACUGACCGAGCAACGCCGCGUGAGUGAAGAAGGUUUUCGGAUCGUAAAGCUCUGUUGUAAGUCAAGAACGAGUGUGAGAGUGGAAAGUUCACACUGUGACGGUAGCUUACCAGAAAGGGACGGCUAACUACGUG